rnacentral:rRNA from 1 species
AGCGAACGCUGGCGGCAGGCUUAACACAUGCAAGUCGAGCGGGCAUAGCAAUAUGUCAGCGGCAGACGGGUGAGUAACGCGUGGGAACAUACCUUUUGGUUCGGAACAACACAGGGAAACUUGUGCUAAUACCGGAUAAGCCCUUACGGGGAAAGAUUUAUCGCCGAAAGAUCGGCCCGCGUCUGAUUAGCUAGUUGGUGAGGUAAUGGCUCACCAAGGCGACGAUCAGUAGCUGGUCUGAGAGGAUGAUCAGCCACAUUGGGACUGAGACACGGCCCAAACUCCUACGGGAGGCAGCAGUGGGGAAUAUUGGACAAUGGGCGCAAGCCUGAUCCAGCCAUGCCGCGUGAGCGAUGAAGGCCCUAGGGUUGUAAAGCUCUUUUGUGCGGGAAGAUAAUGACGGUACCGCAAGAAUAAGCCCCGGCUAACUUCGUGCCAGCAGCCGCGGUAA